GAUGAACGCUGGCGGCGUGCCUAAUACAUGCAAGUCGAGCGAACAGAUGAGGAGCUUGCUCCUCUGACGUUAGCGGCGGACGGGUGAGUAACACGUGGAUAACCUACCUAUAAGACUGGGAUAACUUCGGGAAACCGGAGCUAAUACCGGAUAAUAUAUUGAACCGCAUGGUUCAAUAGUGAAAGACGGUUUUGCUGUCACUUAUAGAUGGAUCCGCGCCGCAUUAGCUAGUUGGUAAGGUAACGGCUUACCAAGGCGACGAUGCGUAGCCGACCUGAGAGGGUGAUCGGCCACACUGGAACUGAGACACGGUCCAGACUGCUACGGGAGGCAGCAGUAGGGAAUCUUCCGCAAUGGGCGAAAGCCUGACGGAGCAACGCCGCGUGAGUGAUGAAGGUCUUCGGAUCGUAAAACUCUGUUAUUAGGGAAGAACAAAUGUGUAAGUAACUAUGCACGUCUUGACGGUACCUAAUCAGAAAGCCACGGCUAACUACGUG
rnacentral:rRNA from 1 species